rnacentral:rRNA from 1 species
CCUACGGGAGGCAGCAGUGGGGAAUAUUGCACAAUGGGGGAAACCCUGAUGCAGCGACGCCGCGUGAGUGAAGAAGGAUUUCGGUAUGUAAAGCUCUAUCAGCCGGGAAGAAAAUGACGGUACCUGAUUAAGAAGCCCCGGCUAACUACGAGCCAGCAGCAGCGGAAAUACGUAGGGGGCGAGCGUUAUCCGGAUUUACUGGGUGUAAAGGGAGCGUAGACGGCAGCACAAGUCUGGAGUGAAAUGCCGGGGCUUAACCCCGGAACUGCUUUGGAGACUGUGCAGCUUGAGUGCAGGUGAGGGAGGUGGAAUUCCUGGUGUAGCGGUGAAAUGCGUAGAUAUUAGGAGGAACACCAGUGGCGAAGGCGGCUUACUAGACUGUAACUGACGUUGAUGCUCGAAAGCGUGGGGAGCAAACAGGAUUAGAUACCCCAGUAGUC